CAUAUAUGUGUAUAUAUGUUUAUAUAUGAUCUAUAUGUGUAUAUAUUUGAUAUAUAUCAUAUAUAUGAUUUAUGUGUCUCAUAUAUCAUAUAUAUGGAUGUAUACAUUGUGAAACCCAAAAAUCUGAGACAGGUCUCAUUUAAAUUAGAAAGUUUAUUUUGCCAAGGUUGAGGACGCGCGCCCGUGACACAGCCUCAGGUGGUCCUAACAACAUGUGCCUUCCCAAGGUGGUAGGAGCACGGUUUGGUUUUAUACAUUCUAGGGAGACAUGAGACAUCAAUCAACAUAUGCAAGAUGAACAUUGGUUCGGUCUGGAAAGACGGGAUAACACGAAGCAAAGGCUGUAUAUGUCAGAGGAUAUCAUAUCUGAUCAAAAGAAAAAAAAGAUCAAGACAAGAUGAAAAGAACCAAAAUGUGAAUAUACAGUUAUAACAUUAAAAUUAAAAGGAAGACAUCCUAAGGCAUACAGCAGCUGCAGUCUGCCUGCCACUGAAUUUUAUCCAGGGUCUGAGCCUGCUGAAGUCAGUUGGUGAAGCAAGAGAAGACAGGCAGAAUAAGAUGGCAGAGAAAGACUCUCCAGCGACCAUCCCUCAAUAGAAACAUCAAUUUGAACAACUAUCCACACAUGAAACAAAUCUUCGUAAGACUCAGGAAACCAGGUGCAGGACAAAGGACAGACAGAACUCAGUCAACCCUCUGCUCACCUGAGAAAAAGUGCAUAUCUAAUUGCUUCUUUGGCCCUAUUGUUUAUGCAAGAAUGCUGAUUCAUUUGUCUAUUUUGGCUUUUGUUGCCAUUGCUUUUGGUGUUUUAGUCAUGAAGUUGUUGCCCAUGCCUAUGUCCUGAAUGAUAUUGCCUAGGUUUUCUUCUAGGGUUUUUAUGGUUUUAGGUCUUACAUUUAAGUCUUUAAUCCAUCUAGAGUUAAUUUUUGUAUACGGUGUAAGGAAGGGAUCCAGUUUCAGCUUUCUGUAUAGGGCUAGCCAGAUUUCCCAACACCAUUUAUUAAAUAGGGAAUCCAUUGGGAUCUAAUUAAACUAAACAGCUUCUGCACAGCAGAGGAAACUAUCACCAGAAUGAACAGGCAACCUACAGAAUGGGAGAAAAUUGUUGCAAUAUAUCCAUCUGACAAAGAGCUAAUAUCCAGAAUCUACAAAGAACUUAAACAAACUUACAAGAAAAAAACAACCCCAUCAAAAAGUGGGCAAAGGAUAUGAACAGACACUUCUCAAAAUAAAACAUUUAUGCAGCCAACAAACAUAUGAAAAAAAGCUCAUCAUCACUGGUCAUUAGAGAAAUGCAAAUCAAAACCACAAUGAGAUACCAUCUUACACCAGUUAGAAUGGUGAUCAUUAAAAAGUCAGGAAACAACAGAUGCUGGUGAGGAUGUGGAGGGAUAAGAACGCUUUUACACUGUUACUGGGAGUGUAAAUUAGUUCAACCAUUGUGGAAGACAGUGUGGCAAUUUCUCAAGGAUCUAGAACUAGAAAUACCAUUUGACCCAGCAAUCCUAUUUCUGGGUAUAUACCCAAAGGAUUAUAAAUCAUUCUACUAUAAAGACACAUGCACACGUAUGUUUAUUGUGGCACUGUUCACAGUAGCAAAGACUUGGAACCAACUCAAAUUCUCAUCAAUGAUAGACUGGAUAAAGAAAAUGUGGCACAGAUAUGCCAUGGAAUACUAUGCAGCCAUAAAAAGGAUGAGUUCAUGUCCUGUGCAGGGACAUGGGUGAAGCUGGAAACCAUCAUCCUCAGCAAAGUAACACAAGAACAGAAAACCAAACACUGCAUGUUCUCACUCAUAAGUGGGAGUUGAACAAUGAGAACACAUGGACACAGGGAGGGGAACAUCCCACCAGAGCCUAGUGGAGGGUGGGGGCUAGGGGAGGGAUAGUAUUGGGAAAAAUACCUAAUGUAGAUGAUGGUUUGAUGGUUGCAGCAAAUCACCAUGGCAUGUGUAUACCUAGGUAACAAAUCUGCACAUUCGGCACAUGUACCCCAGCACUUAAAGUAUAAUAAAAAAAAGCCAAAAAGAAAUGCAGAUUCACUAGGCCUGUCCAAAGCAUAAGUCACUUUCCUCUAUGCCACCUCAUAUGUAAAUUUUGUAUUUAAUGAAAGGCUAAUCACAGUAUUCAGUGAAAAGCUAAUGAGAGACUCAAAAGAAU
rnacentral:lncRNA from 1 species